AAACCAACAGGGAUUGCCCUAGUAACGGCGAGUGAAGCGGCAACAGCUCAAAUUUGAAAUCUGGCGCAAGCCCGAGUUGUAAUUUGUAGAGGAUGCUUCUGGGUAGCGGCCGGUCUAAGUUCCUUGGAACAGGACGUCAUAGAGGGUGAGAAUCCCGUAUGUGACUGGCUUGCACCCUCCACGUAGCUCCUUCGACGAGUCGAGUUGUUUGGGAAUGCAGCUCUAAAUGGGAGGUAAAUUUCUUCUAAAGCUAAAUACCGGCCAGAGACCGAUAGCGCACAAGUAGAGUGAUCGAAAGAUGAAAAGCACUUUGGAAAGAGAGUUAAAAAGCACGUGAAAUUGUUGAAAGGGAAGCGCCCGCAACCAGACUUUGCGGCAGUGUUCGGCCGGUCUUCUGACCGGUUUACUCGCUGUCGUGAGGCCAUCAUCGUCUGGGACCGCUGGAUAAGACCUUAGGAAUGUGGCUCCCUUCGGGGAGUGUUAUAGCCUCUGGUGAUGCAGCGCGUCUCGGGCGAGGUCCGCGCUUCGGCAAGGAUGAUGGCGUAAUGGUUGUCGGCGGC
rnacentral:rRNA from 1 species